UACGGGGGGGGCAAGCGUUGUUCGGAAUUACUGGGCGUAAAGGGCUCGUAGGUGGCCAACUAAGUCAUACGUGAAAUCCCUCAGCUUAACUGGGGAACUGCGUCUGAUACUGGAUGGCUUGAGUUUGGGAGAGGGAUGCGGAAUUCCAGGUGUAGCGGUGAAAUGCGUAGAUAUCUGGAGGAACACCGGUGGCGAAGGCGGCAUCCUGGACCAAUACUGACGCUGAGGAGCGAAAGCCAGGGGAGCAAACAGG
rnacentral:rRNA from 1 species